GAUGAACGCUGGCGGCGUGCCUAAUACAUGCAAGUCGAACGAGAUCUUCGGAUCUAGUGGCGAACGGGUGAGUAACGCGUUGGUACCUACCCUGAAGUGGGGAAUAACUGGCCGAAAGGUCGGCUAAUACCGCAUAAUACCGCAAGGUUAAAGUCGUAAGACGCUUCGGGAGGGGCCUGCGUCCCAUUAGCUAGUUGGUGAGGUAACUGCUCACCAAGGCGACGAUGGGUAGCUGGAUGGAGAGGUUGACCAGCCACACUGGGACUGAGAUACGGCACAGACUCCUACGGGAGGCAGUAGUAAGGAUUCUUCCACAAUGGGCGAAAGCCUGAUGGAGCAACGCCGCGUGCAGGAUGACGGUCUUCGGAUUGUAAACUGCUUUUAUAUGGGAAGAUUAUGACGGUACCAUAUGAAUAAGCACCGGCUAACUACGUGCCAGCCGCCGCCGUAA
rnacentral:rRNA from 1 species